UGGACCAGGCCAUUCUCGGUUGGGGCCUCUUUUGGCUGAUGGUGGCAAGCACAGGGGGUUCUGAAACAGCAGUUAGGGUGGUGGAUAGAAAUCCUUGGGAUUUCAAGCCCAAACCAAAUUCGGAUUUAGGUCCAAAGGUCCUGGUGAACCGAUCUAAGUCAAAUGCCAAGCCCCAAAUUCCCCUCUUCACGUUCUCACGCUUCAAGCCAUACACGAACGAAGAACCUUCACCAUCAUCCUCACUCUUCACAGACUCUCUAUUCUCCUCUCUGAAAUUCAAAUGCGAGCGUGAGCAAACACGGUUCCAGCUUAAUUAUCAACAUCCGAAUCACUUCGAACUCUUCAUCAUCUUCACCGAUCCGGAGUUGCAACAUACACAUCGAUAAUCAAAUCGCAGCAUCGAGGAGAAUUCGUGGUUCGCGCCUUUCCAUCUUUAAUCCAUAGCUUAUAAGCUUCGAAGAUUCCACUUGCUCUGCUAUCAAAUGCACAAAUGGAAGAAAAGUGGUGUCGAUAUGAGUCGAAGGACUUACCGAACCGAAGCCUCGAUAGAAUUGAAGAAGUUUUGGUUGUUGAAUGGAGAGGUCUCGGCUGUAGAAUGGUGAGAUUUGGUUGUAGAGUGGAGAGAACUCUACAGAAUGAAGGGAAAACUCUGACGCAGAGUUGAAGAAAGGAUGAUGCAGAAUGAGGAAGAAGGUGAUGCAGAAUGAGGAAGAAGGUGAUGCAGAAUGAGGAAGAAGGUGAUGCAGGAUGAAGAAGAGAAAUGCAGAAAAUGAGAAAAUCCCCCCUUUGAUCUGUGAAGAGCUUGGUAUUUAUAGAGUUUUCUUCUUCUGAUUUCUGUUAGAAUCUCAGGUUAAAUGCUAAUGAAAUCUAACUCAAAUUACCUUCAAAUGUGACAUUCUAUUACAGGUUAAAUCUCUUGUUAGUUAGUAUCAUUAUGUUAGUGUUAAUUGGGUUGAGUUAGUUAACUGUUAGAAAUUUCUGUUAGAAGUUAUCAACUCUAUUAAAAUUUGUUAUGAAGCUUUGUUAAUUUCUAUUUACUAUGGUUAGUUAUGAGUGAGUUAAAGUGUUAGUAAUGCUAGUUAGAUUUGUCACCAUGCCUGAAGUUUAAUAUCAGUUGUGUUAGCUGUACUUUGUUGGUUCUGCAGCUCAGUUAAUACUUAAUAUCAGUUCUAGAAUUAAUUACAGUAAAUUAUUACAUUACUGCUAAGUUGUAUAGGGAACUGAGUUUAUGGAAUUGUUAUAGAAUCUUUGAAUGGUUUAUGGAAUUGAUUGCUAAUCUUUUGGAUUAAUGGACUGUUAUGGAUUGGAUUUUGCUUUGUUAGAUUUGCAGCCAGGUUUAAGUUAGAAUGUGAGUUUGGAUUUAUGAAGCUUGGUUAGGAUGUUUGGGUUAAUUGUGAACUGGUUUUUCUUGCAGGCUUCAUGUGCCAUGAAUCUAUUUGAUUUGCUAAGAGUUGGUUUGUUGUUAGUUAUCAAGGUGAUGUCGUUCCAACAUUGGUGAAACUCUUGAGUGCAACAUGGAAAUGGUGGCUACAAGCUCCAUCAAGUAGUUUAAAGCUUCUUUUCUUUUCCUAUUGUAUUAUAAAGGGGAAUGUUAUGUAUGGUGUAAUGGGAUGUAAUGUUAAAUGUAGAAAUAAUCAUGAAUAAAUAUGGAUUUUAUGGAAUUGAGAUUUAA